rnacentral:lncRNA from 1 species
CCAUGUUCUUCGUCUUCAGUUCCUCCUCGGCAGGCCUGCAGGGCAGAGGAGAGAGUACAUGGAUCUAAUAAUACCCUGAGAGGUCACUUCUGCCACCCACUGGCACCUUCUGAGCCUCUGUGCUAGCCCACCUUCACCUGACAGCUGCUGUUUUCUCUUCUGCUGCCUUUGUUUAUCCCCUCAUCCUAAAAGUCCUACAGCCUCAUUAUAGAAAAUUCGCAAAAUACAGGAAAGUCUAAAGAAGCAAGAAAAACAAUCACACAUCAGCCAGAGACAACUACUGUUACCAUUCUGGAAAAUUUCCUUCCAGAUAUUCUACGAAAUCAUUUAGAUUCUACAGACAUAAUUUCACAGCUAGCUUUGUCCAUUUAACAGUAAGAAACAUCAUUAUACACUUUUGCAAACAUUUCAAAUGGCUGCUUAAUACUCAUAUCAUACCAUUCCCUUCCUACUGAGCAGCUAAGUUCUUUCAUUUAGAGGUUGCAAAGCAAACCAGCAAACAGCAUUGGGCAUAGUUUUAUCGACACUUGUAUCAUUUCUUUAGGAUACAUUCCUGGCUAUGGAAAGAGAAAAGAUAGAAGAACCCAUCUUUUCGGCUGGGCGUGGUGGCUUACACCUGUAAUUCCAGCACUUUGGGAGGCCGAGGCAGGGAGACCACUUGAGGUUAGGAGUUCAAGACCAGCCUGGGCAACAUGAUGAAACCCUGUCUCUACUAAAAAUACAAAAAAUUAGCUGGGCAUGGCGGUGCACGCCCAUAGUCCCAACUACUUGGGAGGCCGAGGCAAUGUGACAUUCUUGAUACUUCUGACAAUGGUUGAAAAAUUUUUUUUUUUGAGAUG